rnacentral:tRNA from 1 species
GAAAGAAUAGCAUAGCAGUUAAGCGUGUAGCCUGUGGAGCCACAUGCCUGGGUUCAAAUCCUAGUUCUAAUG